GACAUUUCGACCAAAGGAUUUAUUCGCUGAAGGAUGGCCUCGCGUCCGAUUAGGCAGUUGGUGAGGUAACGGCCCACCAAACCUACGAUCGGUAGCCGAACUGAGAGGUUGAUCGGCCACAUUGGGACUGAGACACGGCCCAGACUCCUACGGGAGGCAGCAGUGGGGAAUAUUGGGCAAUGGGCGAAAGCCUGACCCAGCAACGCCGCGUGAAGGAAGACGGUCUUCGGAUUGUAAACUUCUUUGAUUGGGGAAGAACACAAUGACCUACCCAAAGAACAAGUCACGGCUAACUACGUGCCAGCAGCCGCGGUAAUACGUAGGUGACAAGCGUUAUCCGGAUUUACUGGGCGUAAAGGGCGUGUAGGCGGCCUUGCAAGUCAGAAGUGAAAUUCCCGGGCUCAACCCGGGCGCUGCUUCUGAAACUGUAGGGCUUGAGUGCUGGAGGGGAUAGCGGAAUUCCUAGUGGAGCGGUAAAAUGCGUAGAUAUUAGGAAGAACACCGGUGGCGAAGGCGGCUAUCUGGACAGUAACUGACGCUGAGGCGCGAAAGCGUGGGGAGCAAACAGGAUUAGAUACCC
rnacentral:rRNA from 1 species